CCCGUUGGUCAAGCGGUUAAGACACCGCCCUUUCACGGCGGUAACACGGGUUCGAAUCCCGUACGGGUCAUCCA
rnacentral:tRNA from 2 species